AGUGAACGCUGGCGGUAGGCCUAACACAUGCAAGUCGAACGGCAGCACAGUAAGAGCUUGCUCUUACGGGUGGCGAGUGGCGGACGGGUGAGGAAUACAUCGGAAUCUACUUUUUCGUGGGGGAUAACGUAGGGAAACUUACGCUAAUACUGCAUACGACCUACGGGUGAAAGCAGGGGAUCUUCGGACCUUGCGCGAUUGAAUGAGCCGAUAUCGGAUUAGCUAGUUGGCGGGGUAAAGGCCCACCAAGGCGACGAUCCGUAGCUGGUCUGAGAGGAUGAUCAGCCACACUGGAACUGAGACACGGUCCAGACUCCUACGGGAGGCAGCAGUGGGGAAUAUUGGACAAUGGGCGCAAGCCUGAUCCAGCCAUACCGCGUGGGUGAAGAAGGCCUUCGGGUUGUAAAGCCCUUUUGUUUGGAAAGAAAAGCAGCAGGUUAAUACCCCGCUGUUCUGACGGUACCCAAAGAAUAAGCACCGGCUAACUUCGUG
rnacentral:rRNA from 1 species